CCUCCCGCUUCCCAGCCUCCCGGCCUGGGGGGGCCCCCACCCAGCGGAGGCGCUGACCCCACUGCUCUCCCAUUGCCUCCAGCUGCGCUCGGGCCGCAGCAGCCUCGGCGCACCCCCACCCGCUUCCUGCCUCGGCCGCUGUGCCCCAGCCGGGCGGCUGCCUGCAUCGCACCCGUUCCUUCCUUCCUUCAUUCUUUCGGGCCACUCGCAUUCCUCGAGCGCCUGCGACGUGCCCUGCACAAGGCCUCUCCGACCUUCCGAGAGUGGCCUCAGGCCCUGGUCUCUUCCCUCCUCCCCUCCUCCCCGUGUCUCCUCUGCGAAGGCCUGUUCCCCUCACAGUGUAGUAUUUAACUGUUCUCUGAUCUCCCGUGGGGGGGUCAGUCAGUGGCAAGGUCAAGGGGUCUCCGUGUCACUUGAGAUCAAGGGUCAGUGUGACCAGAACUGGGGGUCAGCCAGUCUGCGGCAGGGUUGGAGGGCUAUGCCAUUUCUGGGACUCAAAAAGGGUUUUCAAGACAUGCCUGGGUACUGAACCACUGCAGGCUACUCAGGAAAAUGGUGAGGACUUGGGGACCAUCAGGACAGAUAAACCUGACUUCCUUCUGUGUCAUCAGGGCCAAGGUCUUAAAGUCUGCCCAGAUGUGUGAUUGGCUGAGCCACUGUUUAUGAUCCUCCUGUCCCCCUUGGACGCAUCCAGAUUCACAGAUAUUAGACGACUAACAAAGGUCGCCCUGGAGUAAGUGUCAGCCCAGGUCUUCAACACUACAAG